rnacentral:miRNA from 1 species
AGCCUGUGAUGAUUAUCUCUGA